AGUGGACGCUCGAGGCCGCGCUAGUUGUUGUGAAUGUGAAUCCGUUCUAAUCGGCUUGUGGAGCUCGAUGUGAAGAACGACGACAUCCUGUUUUUAUACUGGACACUCAACGGUAAUCAGUGGUGAAGAUGAUCCAGCGGGGAAAUAGUUAUGUGCAAAACUCCAAAAAUGCUCUAUUCAACUGCACUCUAAAAGGAGAAAGAUGAAAAGGAGUGCAAUGGGGACUAAGUGUGAGGAGAUGUCACUCUCUGUGACUUUAUCUGUGAUUGCUGGGGUAGCAGAUUCCAAGAGCCAUAGACAGUUACCAAACGUCUUACAGAGUGUCUGGCAGUCAGUGGAUACAAGUAGGAAUGUCUAAGUGUAAACAACAAAGGUUUUUCAUUUCUUUUUUUAAUUAAUCUUACUAUAUCUGUAGUCUUCCUAAAGGAAACUGCACAGUGCACACGUGUGUAAUAGAAAUAGAUCAUUUAUUUAUAAAAAUG